UACGAAGGGGGCUAGCGUUGUUCGGAAUUACUGGGCGUAAAGGGCGCGUAGGCGGUACUUCAAGUCAGGCGUGAAAGCCCCGGGCUCAACCUGGGAACCGCGCUUGAGACUGGAGAACUAGAGUUCGGGAGAGGAUGGUGGAAUUCCCAGUUGUGAGAGGUGAAAUUCGUAGUAUUGGGAAGAACACCGAUGGCGAAGGCAGCCAUCUGGACCGACACUGACGCUGAGGCGCGAAAGCGUGGGGAGCAAACAGG
rnacentral:rRNA from 1 species